CAGAAAAUAGUUUAUUUAAAAUAUUAAUUUUGGAGAUUAAUGAUAAGACUUUCUUUUUUCUGA
rnacentral:tRNA from 1 species